rnacentral:rRNA from 2 species
ACGGAAGGCAGCAGUGGGGAAUAUUGCACAAUGGGGGAAACCCUGAUGCAGCGACGCCGCGUGAGUGAAGAAGUAUUUCGGUAUGUAAAGCUCUAUCAGCAGGAAAGAAAAUGACGGUACCUGACUAAGAAGCCCCGGCUAACUACGUGCCAGCAGCCGCGGUAAUACGUAGGGGGCAAGCGUUAUCCGGAUUUACUGGGUGUAAAGGGAGCGUAGACGGCUUUGCAAGUCUGAAGUGAAAGCCCGGGGCUCAACCCCGGAACUGCUUUGGAAACUGUAGAGCUAGAGUGCAGGAGAGGUAAGUGGAAUUCCUAGUGUAGCGGUGAAAUGCGUAGGUAUUAGGAGGAACACCAGUGGCGAAGGCGGCUUACUGGACUGUAACUGACGUUGAGGCUCGAAGGCGUGGGGAGCAAACAGGAUUAGAUACCCUGGUA